rnacentral:tRNA from 1 species
GCGGGGGUAGCUAAGCCUGGUCAAAUGCGCCUGCAUCGCCGGUCAACGGCGCUAGGAGCGGACGGAUGUCCGCGACUUAGCCGUUAGCCGACUACAGGCAAUUGCGGGCGCAGGCUAACGGCGCUAGAUUGAGGGUCUAGUCCUUAGUGGUCCAAGGGUUCAAAUCCCUUCUCCCGCA